rnacentral:rRNA from 1 species
UACGGAGGGGGCUAGCGUUGUCCGAAGUUACUGGGCGUAAAGCGCGCGUAGGCGGGUUGUUAAGUCUGCUGUGAAAUCCCCGGGCUCAACCUGGGAAUGGCAGUGGAUACUGGCAAGCUAGAGUGCGGUAGAGGGUAGUGGAAUUCCCGGUGUAGCAGUGAAAUGCGUAGAGAUCCGGAGGAACACCGACGGCGCAGGCAGCGUCCUGGCCGCUUGCUGACACUGAGGCACGAAAGCUGGGGGAGCAAACAGG